rnacentral:sRNA from 1 species
AUAUUUUACCCAUUUACUCUGAUUAGUUGUGGCUCCAAUAAGAACUACAGUGACGCUCGUACUGUAAGGGCUACUCUUAUCGUCAGGCCAGUGAAGCGAUGAAUGUCGGGUCUUC